rnacentral:lncRNA from 1 species
CCCACACAGAGCCGCUUUCCCCAAGACGAGUCUGGAAGCUGCCACACAAAACGUGCACUACACCCAUCCCACUGGCCAAAGCUUGGCUACAGCCCUUUUCUAACACAAGGGGCUGAAGUCUUUUCUUUGGCAGCUUGUGUUCUCAGCUGAAAAACCCUGAUGGGUGAAUCACGAGUGGGAAUGUUGACAACCAGCAGUGGGGGUUGAUGCCUCUUUGGUAUUGACCAAACUUCAACCCUGAGGUUAGUUGACU